rnacentral:rRNA from 1 species
UACGGAGGGUGCGAGCGUUGUCCGGAAUCACUGGGCGUAAAGGGCGCGUAGGCGGCGCGGGUAGUCAACGGUGAAAGCUUGGGGCUCAACCCCGAGUCGGCCGUCGAUACUCCCGUGCUUGAGCACUGUAGAGGCAGGUGGAAUUCCGGGUGUAGCGGUGGAAUGCGUAGAGAUCCGGAAGAACACCGGUGGCGAAGGCGGCCUGCUGGGCAGUAGCUGACACUGAGGCGCGACAGCGUGGGGAGCAAACAGG